rnacentral:rRNA from 1 species
GGCAUCAGGAAGAAAGCUUGCUUUCUUUGCUGGCGACCGGCGCACGGGUGAGUAACACGUAUCCAACCUGCCCUUUACUCGGGGAUAGCCUUUCGAAAGAAAGAUUAAUACCCGAUAGUAUAAUGAUUCCGCAUGGUUUCAUUAUUAAAGGAUUCCGGUAAAGGAUGGGGAUGCGUUCCAUUAGGUUGUUGGUGAGGUAACGGCUCACCAAGCCUUCGAUGGAUAGGGGUUCUGAGAGGAAGGUCCCCCACAUUGGAACUGAGACACGGGUCCAAACUCCUACGGGAGGCAGCAAGUGAGGAAUAUUGGUCCAAUGGGCGUUAGCCUGAACCAGCCAAGUAGCGUGAAGGAUGAAGGCUCUAUGGGUCGUAAACUUCUUUUAUAUAAGAAUAAAGUGCAGUAUGUAUACUGUUUUGUAUGUAUUAUAUGAAUAAGGAUCGGCUAACUCCGUGCCAGCAGCCGCGGUAAUACGGAGGAUCCGAGCGUUAUCCGGAUUUAUUGGGUUUAAAGGGAGCGUAGGUGGACUGGUAAGUCAGUUGUGAAAGUUUGCGGCUCAACCGUAAAAUUGCAGUUGAUACUGUCAGUCUUGAGUACAGUAGAGGUGGGCGGAAUUCGUGGUGUAGCGGUGAAUGCUUAGAUAUCACGAAGACUCCGAUUGCGAAGGCAGCUCACUGGACUGCAACUGACAC